GAACCGGGAAGAGCUCAAAUUUGAAAUCUGGCGUGCUCAGUGCGUCCGAGUUGUAAUCUAUAGAGUCGUUUUCCGUGCCGGACUGUGUCCAAGUCCCUUGGAACAGGGUAUCAAAGAGGGUGAUAAUCCCGUACUUGACACAAUGACCGGUGCUCUGUGAUACGUCUUCUACGAGUCGAGUUGUUUGGGAAUGCAGCUCAAAAUGGGUGGUGAGUUCCAUCUAAAGCUAAAUAUUGGCGAGAGACCGAUAGCGAACAAGUACCGUGAGGGAAAGAUGAAAAGCACUUUGGAAAGAGAGUUAAACAGUACGUGAAAUUGUUAAAAGGGAAACGAUUGAAGUCAGUCGUGACUGAGAGGCUCAGCCGGUUCUGCCGGUGUAUUCCCCUCAGUCGGGUCAACAUCAGUUUUGUUCGGUGGAUAAGGGCAGUUGGAAGGUGGCACCCUCGGGUGUGUUAUAGCCAGCUGUCGCAUACAUCGGAUGAGACUGAGGAAUGCAGCUCGCCUUUAUGGCCGGGGUUCGCCCACGUUCGAGCUUAGGAUGUUGACAUAAUGGCUUUAAACGACCCGUCUUGAAA
rnacentral:rRNA from 1 species